UACAGAGGUCUCAAGCGUUAUUCGGAUUCAUUGGGCGUAAAGGGGUGCGUAGGUGGCGAUGUAAGUCUGGUGUGAAAUCUCGGGGCUUAACCCCGAAAUUGCAUUGGAUACUGCGUUGCUUGAGGAUUGUAGAGGAGAGUGGAAUUCACGGUGUAGCAGUGAAAUGCGUAGAUAUCGUGAGGAAGACCAGUUGCGAAGGCGACUCUCUGGGCAAUUCCUGACACUGAGGCACGAAGGCCAGGGGAGCAAACGGG
rnacentral:rRNA from 1 species